AUCAUUUCGGGCUAAGUAAUGAAAAGUUGAACAUUUUUUUUUUAACUAGCCUUCUUCAAAUCCAUUCUAGGAAAAUGAACUGUCAUACCAAGUUUUUGAUAUUCAAUCUAUUAUUUCUACGCGGUUUAAGAUAUAAUUUUUGAAAAAAAAAAAAAACAUAUCUCCAUCUUUUAAGUGGGUUUAAGAGUCUAUUUUCACGUUAUCUCUCCAGCAUACUUUGCUACAUUACAUACAAUAUGGAAUACAAUUCGUUUCUAAUGAAUUCCAGUUGUGUUUCAUAUGGAGCAAGUACAAUAUAUUUCUAAUGAACUCCUAAGUCCUAACUAACAACUAAUGUAUAGGUUUGAAAGAAGCGCACCCUUAAAUUACACGACUUAAGCCGACCUCUCUACUCUUCUAGUGCUUUGACCAGUGGCGGGCCUGGGCUUGUGCCUGGUGGGUCAAGUGACUCACCAGGGCCCAAAAAAAAUUUUAAGUUUUUUUUUUAAAAAAAAAAAAUAAAUAAAUAAAAAAUUCUAACGUCUGAGUUAGCCCUAGCCCACUUCGCCAGUUCGCCUCUUCCUCUUCGCAAGUUCGCAUCUUCCUCUUCGCCUCUUCCUCAGACCUCAGUUCCUCUUCGCUAGUUCGCUUCAUCUUCCUCUUCGCAUAAUUUCAGUUUGCUCACGCCUCCAGUGCUGGCUGUGCUGCUGGCCUGUUGGCUGCUGCUCGCCUAGUCGCCUGCUCCAGCCUCCAGUGCUCUGUGCAGCUGUGCUCUGUCCUCUGCUGCUCGCCUAGUCGCCUGCUCUAGUGCCUAGUCGCUGACUUGCUGUUUUGCUGAGUGUUGGGCAUGGCCCUGCUGCAGUGCUGCUCCGCUGCUCGCCUCAAUCAUUCAGCGCCUGCCGCCUCCGCCUAGCAAGGGAAGACUCAGCUUAUCAAUCAUUUUCUAAUCAACAAGAGUUGGUAUAUUGUUAAUUUGCCUGGAUAUGGGUGAGUCUCUGUAAUUUUGGUUUUAAUUUGGGCAAUUUCUGUAAUUCUUGAGUCUAUUUCAUGCUGGGAAUAUUGUAUACUUGUAUUGUGAAUCAAUUGUUAUUCGUGUUUAUUCCUGAUCAUAUGCUUGAAUCAUAUUGAAGUGCCAAAAAAGGAUUGCUUUUACGCCUUGAGGCAUUGCUUCAAAAUUAUUGAUCAUCCUGUAAAACAUGUUGCGGACUGAUAUGUAUUUAGGCUACAUCCGUUGUAGUUAAUUUGGUCUCCAAUCGUGUUGUUUAUUUUCAAGUUUAGGAAGUAAAUGUCUCCUUACAUGU